AGGGCUGGAGGGAGACAGCAGCCAAAUUCCAUCCAGAGGAAGUCCCACUGACUGAGAAAGGCCCAGUCUGUGGGGACAUUUCUGUGGCAUUUUGAGGGUAAAAUGGCUAA
ensembl:miRNA gga-mir-6622 gga-mir-6622